rnacentral:rRNA from 1 species
UACGAGGGGGGCGAGCGUUGUUCGGAAUUAUUGGGCGUAAAGGGCUCGUAGGCGGUUUGUCGCGUCGGGAGUGAAAACUCAGGGCUUAACCCUGAGCCUGCUUCCGAUACGGGCAGACUAGAGGUAUGCAGGGGAGAACGGAAUUCCUGGUGUAGCGGUGAAAUGCGCAGAUAUCGGGAGGAACACCGGUGGCGAAGGCGGCGACCUGGGUAGAUACUGACGCUGAGGCGCGAAAGCGUGGGGAGCAAACAGGG